rnacentral:rRNA from 1 species
UGGGGAAUUUUGGACAAUGGGGGCAACCCUGAUCCAGCCAUGCCGCGUGCGGGAAGAAGGCCUUCGGGUUGUAAACCGCUUUUGUCAGGGAAGAAACGCUCUGGGCCAAUACCCCGGAGUAAUGACGGUACCUGAAGAAUAAGCACCGGCUAACUACGUGCCAGCAGCCGCGGUAAUACGUAGGGUGCAAGCGUUAAUCGGAAUUACUGGGCGUAAAGCGUGCGCAGGCGGUUAUGCAAGACAGAUGUGAAAUCCCCGGGCUCAACCUGGGAACUGCAUUUGUGACUGCAUGGCUUGAGUGCGGCAGAGGGAGAUGGAAUUCCGCGUGUAGCAGUGAAAUGCGUAGAUAUGCGGAGGAACACCGAUGGCGAAGGCAAUCUCCUGGGCCUGCACUGACGCUCAUGCACGAAAGCGUGGGGAGCAAACAG